rnacentral:rRNA from 1 species
GACGAACGCUGGCGGCGUGCCUAAUACAUGCAAGUAGAACGCUGAAGGAGGAGCUUGCUUCUCUGGAUGAGUUGCGAACGGGUGAGUAACGCGUAGGUAACCUGCCUGGUAGCGGGGGAUAACUAUUGGAAACGAUAGCUAAUACCGCAUAAGAGUAGAUGUCGCAUGACAUUUGCUUAAAAGGUGCAAUUGCAUCACUACCAGAUGGACCUGCGUUGUAUUAGCUAGUUGGUGAGGUAACGGCUCACCAAGGCAACGAUACAUAGCCGACCUGAGAGGGUGAUCGGCCACACUGGGACUGAGACACGGCCCAGACUCCUACGGGAGGCAGCAGUAGGGAAUCUUCGGCAAUGGACGGAAGUCUGACCGAGCAACGCCGCGGGAGUGAAGAAGGGUGUCGGAUCGUAAAGCUCUGUUGUAAGAGAAGAACGAGUGUGAGAGUGGAAAGUUCACACUGUGACGGUAUCUUACCAGAAAGGGACGGCUAACUACGUG